UGCAAGUCGAGCGAAUGGAUUAAGAGCUUGCUCUUAUGAAGUUAGCGGCGGACGGGUGAGUAACACGUGGGUAACCUGCCCAUAAGACUGGGAUAACUCCGGGAAACCGGGGCUAAUACCGGAUAACAUUUUGAACCGCAUGGUUCGAAAUUGAAAGGCGGCUUCGGCUGUCACUUAUGGAUGGACCCGCGUCGCAUUAGCUAGUUGGUGAGGUAACGGCUCACCAAGGCAACGAUGCGUAGCCGACCUGAGAGGGUGAUCGGCCACACUGGGACUGAGACACGGCCCAGACUCCUACGGGAGGCAGCAGUAGGGAAUCUUCCGCAAUGGACGAAAGUCUGACGGAGCAACGCCGCGUGAGUGAUGAAGGCUUUCGGGUCGUAAAACUCUGUUGUUAGGGAAGAACAAGUGCUAGUUGAAUAAGCUGGCACCUUGACGGUACCUAACCAGAAAGCCACGGCUAACUACGUGCCAGCAGCCGCGGUAAUACGUAGGUGGCAAGCGUUAUCCGGAAUUAUUGGGCGUAAAGCGCGCGCAGGUGGUUUCUUAAGUCUGAUGUGAAAGCCCACGGCUCAACCGUGGAGGGUCAUUGGAAACUGGGAGACUUGAGUGCAGAAGAGGAAAGUGGAAUUCCAUGUGUAGCGGUGAAAUGCGUAGAGAUAUGGAGGAACACCAGUGGCGAAGGCGACUUUCUGGUCUGUAACUGACACUGAGGCGCGAAAGC
rnacentral:rRNA from 1 species